rnacentral:rRNA from 1 species
GACAGAGGCCUCAAGCGUUAGGCGGAAUCACUGGGCUUAAAGCGUGUGUAGGCGGACGCCUAAGUGUCUUGUGAAAUCCCCCGGCUCACCCGGGGAACUGCUGGGCAUACUGGGCGUCUUGGGCCAACUAGAGGCAACUGGAACAAGCGGUGGAGCGGUGAAAUGCGUAGAUAUCGCUUGGAACGCCGAAGGUGAAAACAGGUUGCUGGGGGUUGUGCCGACGCUGAGACACGAAAGCCAGGGGAGCAAACGAGAUUAGAUACCCC